CUCAUUCUCUCUCUCUUGUCUUGUCUACCGCCAUGUAAGACGUGUCUUUCACCUUCUGCCAUGAUUGUGAGGCCUCCCCAGCCACAUGGAACUGAGUGUCAGCCGUGACCCUUAUGAUGGAUGAGAAGAGGUAUCAUGCCUUUUCCACCCCUACACCUGGAAGGAAGGUUCUGCAGCAAGUUCAUGAGAGACGAUAUGUGGAAUGUAAUCAGAGCAUACCUCUUAAUACUUAAAAGCCUUUGCAGGGAGAUCUCUCUUCCCAUCUCCUUCCUGGAAGACAGAAGCCUUGUGCGAGCCCCUUGUGUGAUGUCACCCCAGCUAGGGCCACCGGACGUUGGUCCUCAGCAGGGAGACUUUGGGUCCUCCACCAGGACCCAGGGCUGACCUGCAUGGCCAGGCCCCAUGGCCUGGGUAGAACCUUGUUUCUGCUCCAGGAAAAAACGAUCAACGAACCUUCAUUUAAGAAAAAGCACAGCGUUCUCAUGGGAACCAAGAAGACAAGCCCUUAAUGCAAAGUGUAUUCAGAGAGAAGAAAACAAGAAAAGCAGAGACGAUUGGAUUACAGCAAUUGCUCUUAUAACUCCUCUCCGCCCACCCCCUCGAUGAGAAGCUGGUUUGAAGGACUGAGUAUCAAAUCCCUACUGAGCUCUGAGGUUCCAGGCAGCGUAGAAAACAAUGCCUGCCUUUUGCCAGGCAUCCUCAUGGAAGUGACAUCGUCUUUAAACCUGUGUGGCAAUCCCUGACGCACCACCGUGAUGCCCAGGGAAGACAGGGUGACCUGGAAACCCAACUACUUCCUUAAGAUCAUCCAGCUAUUGGAUGAUUAUCUGAAAUGUUUCAUCGUGGGAGCAGACAAUGUGAACUCCAAGCAGAUGCAGCAGAUCCGCAUGUCCCUCUGCGGCAAGGCCGUGGUGCUGAUGGGCAAGAACGCCAUGACGCGCAAGGCCAUCCGAGGGCACCUGGAAAACAGCCCAGCUCUGGAGAAACUGCUGCCUCGCAUCUGGGAGAAUGUGGGCUUUGUGUUCACCAAGGAGGACCUCACUGAGAUCAGGGACCUGCUGCUGGCCAAUAAGGUGCCAGCUGCCACCCGUGCUGGUGCCAUUACCCCAUGUGAAGUCACUGUGCCAGCCCAGAAUACUGGUCUGGACCCCGAGAAGACCUCCUUUUUCCAGGCUUUAGGUAUCAUCACUAAAAUCUCCAGGGGCGCCAUUGAAAUCCUGAGUGAUGCGCAGCUGAUCAAGACGGGAGACAAAGUGGGAGCCAGUGAAGCCACGCUGCUGACCAUGCUCAACAUCUCCCCCUUCUCCUCUGGGCUGGUCAUCCAGCAGGUGUUCGACAACGGCAGCAUCUACAACCCUGAAGUGCUUGACAUCACAGAGGAAACUCUGUAUUCUCGCUUCCUGGAGGGUGUCCGCAAUGUUGCCGGUGUCUGUCCGCAGAUCCACUACCCAACUGUUGCAUCAGUGCCCCAUUCUAUCAUCGACGGGUACAAACGAGUCCUGGCCUUGUCUGUGGAGACUGAUGACAACUUCCUGCUUGCUGAAAAGGUCAAGGCCUUCUUGGCUGAUCCAUCUGCCUUUGUGGCUGCAGCCCCUGUGGCUGCUGCCACCACAGCUGCUCCUGCUGCUGCUGCUGCAGCCCCAGCUAAGGAUGAAGCCAAGGAAGAGUCGGAGGGAGGAGUCAGACGAGGAUAUGGGAUUGGGUCUCUUUGACUAAUCACCAAAAAGCAACCAACUUAGCCAGCUUUAUUUGCAAAACAAGGAAAUAAAGGCUUACUUCUUUAAAAAAAAAAAAAGAAAAGAAAAAAAGAAGAAAGAAAGAAACAAAGAAAGAAAGAAAGAGAAAGAAAGAAAAGAAAAAAAAAAUAAAACAACACUUGCUCCCACGGUUGUGACAGUGGGGUUUAAAGAAAACCAGCAGGCGCCGGGCACGGUGGCUCACGCCUGUAAUCCCAGCACUUUGGGAGGCUGAGGCGGGCGGACCACGAGGUCAGGAGAUCGAGACCAUCCUGGCUAGCACUGUGAAACCCCAUCUGUACUAAAAAUACAAAAAAUUAGCCGGGCGUGGUGGCGGGCAUCUGUAGUCCCAGCUGCUCGGGAGGCUCAGGCAGGAGAAUGGCAUGAACCCAGGAGGCAGAGCUUGUAGUGAGCCGAGAUCGCGCCACUGCACUCCAGCCUGGGUGACUGAGCCAGACUCCGUCUCAAAAAAAAAAAAAAAAAAGAAAAAAGAAAAAGAAAAAGAAAAGGAGUAGGCAGAAAGAGCACACAGUAGGUGUUCAACCAGCGUGAAGCUCCCAGCCCCUGACAGUCCACGACAGCCUCAGAGCAGGCAGAAGGAGCACACAGUAGGUGUUCAGCCAGCGUGAAGCCCCCAGCCCCUGACAGGCUACGACAGCCUCAGAGCAGGCAGAAGGAGCACACAGUAGGCAUCCAGCCCACAUGAAGCAGGCCCCCAGCCCCUGACAGGCCAUGACAGCCUGAGGCAGGACCACAUGGUGAUCUCUAACCUGACCCCAGGGGAGGACAGGAGGGAGGACGGAUAGCACCCUGGGAGGCCAGGGCCUGGCGUCCCACCCUGUCACCCUCGUGCCCAGUGUCCAGGGGCUCCGAGUUAGCCAUGGCCUGGCGCGUAGCCUUAGGAGAGACCCUCCAGCCAUUCGGUGGAGCGUGGAGACCCCUCGUGGCCACACGGAGGACUGCAGCUCUCAGCGUGUGACCUCUCGCCAGCAUCGGGGCUGCUCUGCAUGUAGCCCUGGGAGAGCUCUGCAAACAUUGCUUGAGCUCCUUUUUAUUUUAUUUUUAUUUCUUGAGACAGGAUCUCACUCUCACCCAGGCUGGAGUGCAGUGGCACAAUCUCAGCUCACCGCAACCUCCGCCUCCAGAGUUCAAGCGAUUCUCCUGCCUCAGCCUCCUGAGUAGCUGGGAUUACAGAUGUGCGCCGCCACGCCCGGCUAACUUUUGUAUUUUUAGUAGAGACGGGUUUUUGCCAUGUUGGCCAGGCUGGUCUCAAACUCCUGGCCUCAAGUGAUCCACUCGCCUCGGCCUCCCAAAGUGCUGGGAUUACAGGCGUGAGCCACCGCACCCGGCUGCUUGAGCUCCUUUAAAGGUGCCACGAUUUAUGCUUGGUGUUAUGGACAAAGAAAGGAAGUGAUUCCCAUCCCAGAGAAUCUACCACCGGGAGAGUUACAGAGGCUGGGCCGCCCUAUAUCUACCUCCCACCCCUGUAUACAUCCAUAUAGAAGAGAACUCAGGGUUCAAUCAGGGGACCUAGAGCAAGACACCCAUUUUCCCAUGCCUUGCUCCCCAUAUUGGCCUUAUGGGCGUGGUACCCUGUAAAGUACCUGGAAUAGUCCAGAGCUCAAAAAUUCUUAUGAUUAUUAAAGGUAUAAAAGGACAGGUAAAUUGAGGCCAAGUGCAGUGGCUUAUACCUGCAAUCCCAGCACUUUGGGAGGCCAAGGUAGGAAGAUGGAUUGAUCCCAGGAGUUCAAGACCAGCCUGGGCAACAUAGUGAGACCCCCAUCUCUAU